GUGAGGAAUUUUCCGCAAUGGGCGAAAGCCUGACGGAGCAAUGCCGCGUGAAGGAUGAAGGCCUAUGGGUUGUAAACUUCUUUUCUCAGAAAAGAAUUAUGACGGUAUCUGAGGAAUAAGCAUCGGCUAACUCUGUGCCAGCAGCCGCGGUAAGACAGAGGAUGCAAGCGUUAUCCGGAAGGAUUGGGCGUAAAGCGUCUGUAGGUUGUUUAAAAAGUAUUCUGUCAAAGAUUAGGGCUUAACCCUAGAUAGGCAGAAUAAACUUUUAAGCUAGAGUUUGGUAGAGGCAGAGGGAAUUCCCGGUGGAGCGGUGAAAUGCGUAGAUAUCGGGAGGAACACCAAAGGCGAAGGCACUCUGCUGGGCCAAUACUAACACUGAGAGACGAAAGCGAGGGGAGCAAAUGGGAUUAGAAACCCGGGUAGUCC
rnacentral:rRNA from 1 species